rnacentral:rRNA from 1 species
GACAACGCUGGCGGCGUGGAUUAGGCAUGCAAGUCGAACGGUAUCAUCCUUUCGGGGGUGAGAGAGUGGCGAACUGGUGAGUAACACGUAGGUUAUCUACCCUCAAGACGGGGACAACCCAGGGAAACUUGGGCUAAUACCGGAUGUGAGCAACUUUUAGUUGUUUGAAAGGUGGCGUAAGCUGUCGCUUGGGGAUGAGCCUGCGUCCUAUUAGUUAGUUGGUGAGGUAACGGCUCACCUAGGCAAUGAUAGGUAGGCGGCCUUAACGGGUGGUCGCCCACACUGGGAUUGAGAUACGGCCCAGACUCCUACGGGAGGCAGCAGUCGAGAAUAGUCUACAAUGGUCGGAAGACUGAUAGUGCGACGCCGCGUGAACGAUGAAUCCCUUCGGGGUGUAAAGUUCUUUUAUAUGUGAGCAGUGCUUCUUAUAUUAACAGUAUGGGGAGAGAGAUAUUAGCAUAUGAAUAAGCAACGGCUAACUCCGUG